rnacentral:misc_RNA from 1 species
UCUCCGUUGGUGAACCAGCGGAGGGAUCAUUACCGAGUGCAAACUCAUAACCCUUUGUGAACCUAUAUCUGUUGCUUCGGCGGCUCGCUCUCGGGCGAGCCCGCCGGUAAUAUCAGUAUCUCUGUUUGAACCCGGCGAUACUUCUGAGUGUUCUUAGCGAACAGUUAAAACUUUUAACAACGGAUCUCUUGGCUCUA